AAAACGAUUCUCGGCAACGGAUAUCUCGGCUCUCGCAUCGAUGAAGAACGUAGCGAAAUGCGAUACUUGGUGUGAAUUGCAGAAUCCCGUGAACCAUCGAGUCUUUGAACGCAAGUUGCGCCCAAAGCCUUUUGGUUGAGGGCACGUCUGCCUGGG
rnacentral:rRNA from 1 species